rnacentral:misc_RNA from 1 species
UCCGGUUUAUCACCGGCAGUCUCACAUGAGUCCCCAACUUAAUGCUGGCAACAUGCGACGAGGGUUGCGCUCGUUGCGGGACUUAACCCAACAUCUCACGACACGAGCUGACGACAACCAUGCACCACCUGUCACCACUGUCCCCGAAGGGAAAGAUGUAUCUCUACACCGGUCAGUGGGAUGUCAAGACCUGGUAAGGUUCUUCGCGUUGCUUCGAAUUAAACCACAUGCUCCGCCGCUUGUGCGGGUCCCCGUCAAUUCCUUUGAGUUUUAGCCUUGCGGCCGUACUCCUCAGGCGGGGUGCUUAAUGCGUUUGCGACGGCACGGAAGGGGUUGAUGCCUCCCACACCUAGCACCCAACGUUUACGGCUGGGACUAC